GCCCGGUUAGCUUAGUGGCAGAGCGUUGCACUUGUAUCAUAAAGAUCAUGCAAAGGUCAUUCGUUCGACUCGGAUACGGGGCA
rnacentral:tRNA from 2 species